UGGGGAAUAUUGCACAAUGGGCGAAAGCCUGGUGCAGCAACGCCGCGUGAGUGAUGAAGGUCUUCGGAUUGUAAAGCUCUGUCUUUUGGGACGAUAAUGACGGUACCAAAGGAGGAAGCCACGGCUAACUACGUGCCAGCAGCCGCGGUAAUACGUAGGUGGCGAGCGUUGUCCGGAUUUACUGGGCGUAAAGGGUGCGCAGGCGGAUGUUUAAGUGAGAUGUGAAAUACCCGGGCUUAACUUGGGUGCUGCAUUUCAAACUGGAUAUCUAGAGUGCAGGAGAGGAGAAUGGAAUUCCUAGUGUAGCGGUGAAAUGCGUAGAGAUUAGGAAGAACACCAGUGGCGAAGGCGAUUCUCUGGACUGUAACUGACGCUGAGGCACGAAAGCGUGGGUAGCAAACAGGAUUAGAUACCCUGGUAGUCCACGCCGUAAACGAUGAGUACUAGGUGUAGGAGGUAUCGACCCCUUCUGUGCCGCAGUAAACACAUUAAGUACUCCGCCUGGGAAGUACGAUCGCAAGAUUAAAACUCUAAAGUGAAUUGACGGGGUC
rnacentral:rRNA from 1 species